UCGGGAAUUUUGGGCAAUGGGCGCAAGCCUGAUCCAGCCAUGCCGCGUGAACGAUGAAGGCCUUAGGGUUGUAAAGUUCUUUUGUCAGGGAAGAUAAUGACGGUACCUGAAGAAUAAGCACCGGCUAACUUCGUGCCAGCAGCCGCGGUAAUACGAAGGGGGCUAGCGUUGUUCGGAAUCACUGGGCGUAAAGCGCACGUAGGCGGAUUUGUUAGUCAGGGGUGAAAUCCCGGGGCUCAACCUCGGAACUGCCUCUGAUACUGCAAAUCUCGAGUCCGAUAGAGGUGAGUGGAAUUCCUAGUGUAGAGGUGAAAUUCGUAGAUAUUAGGAAGAACGCCAGUGGCGAAGGCGGCUCACUGGAUCGGUACUGACGCUGAGGUGCGAAAGCGUGGGGAGCAAACAGGAUUAGAUACCCCCGUAGUCCCUGAGCGGGCUGGCAAGGCGCAU
rnacentral:rRNA from 1 species